GAAGGCCAACGGCUCCUCCGACGGACACGGAACACACCGAACAGACUCGAGUCACCGACCUCGCCAGACUGUCCGACGGCCGAUUAUCUGGUUGGUGUGUCGGCGCCUUGAGGCGGCCUUAAAUGCAGCUGAAUUCUCCCGGGCAGGGUUGGUUGGCUUUUUCUUUUUGGAUGUGCAUUGAUUAUUUACAUUCAUCACUUUCAUUGUUUUUGUUUAUGUUCAAGGUAACGUUGAAACUGGGUGGCAGGGUAGUCUUUAUUACUCACUGCACACACUGUAUUCUCAGAGCACGGCUUGUUGAGCGGGACGUACUUCUUCCCUUUACUCUGGCUCAAAGGGCUUCGCAUAGAGCCGAGUCGACACGUGACCACACGUAUCAGAUGGACAGGUCUUUAGAGAUGGACGCUCUUUGUGUCGGGAUGCUGGAAAACCGCUCGCAGGCUGCUCGGGGGGGCUGCUUACGGCUCACACUGCUGGGAAGUGAGAGGAAUGUGUUAAGAAUAACGGCUCACACAUAUAACGUGUCGCUGUUUCGCACUUAAAAAGAAAAGGAAAUCCAAAAAAAAAAAAAAAAGAAACUGCAUCUCCUCAAUUCUUUUGUAACGAUUCUGUCUGCACCUCUGGAAUGGAAAUCAUGUUGUGAAAUGUUGGUAUCAAUAAUUAAAGAGGCUUUCUAAACUGCUA